UACUUUAUUGUAUUUCAAGUAUAUUUAACUUUGCAAUAGUAAAUUACAAAUAUACUUACAAAGGAAUGUACUUUCUUUAAACAUAUUUAAAGUAUACUUACAACAUAUUUGCGCGUAUUUUUUACAAAUAAACUUUUAACAUACUUCAAAAUAAUUAUACUUUAGUAUAUUUUCUAAAAGUAUACUUUAGAAAAAUAUACUUAAAGUUAAAGUUUUGUGCAAUUUUUAAAGUAUACUAAAUUUAAACUUAUUUUAAAAUGUAUUUUAGGUAUACUUUAUCGGUAUGCUUAAAGUUAUCAUUAUAAUAAUGCACUGACAGUAUAUUUCUAAAAUACAUUAUUUAGUAUUCUUUAGAAACAGUAUAUUUUAAGCACAUUUUGAAAGUAUAUGGGGUGUACACAUGUAUAUUAUUUUAUGGAGAAAUAACGUGGGCUUAAAAUUACGAGAGAGCAGUAUGUUCUGUUACAUUUUAUAUUGUAGAUGUAUACAUUUGUAAUAUACUAUUAACAUAAUAAGGUACACUUUAACUUCACUAUAGUCAAGCAUUGGAUAAACCAAUGAACUGUGUUUUACCACAAAAUUACCAUGGUUUUGCUAAUAAUAAUCAAUACACCAAAAAAAAACAUGGUUACUAAAUUUUUACCAUAAAAAAAACAUUCAUUUUCGUAAGGGGAAUAUGAGUGUUUGUUUUGUUUUUUUGUAGUCAAUUGCAUACCGCUUUUAGCUGUACACAUUAAUUAACUUAAACAGUUUUCGUAAAUGCAUUUCAGAGAAAAGUGAAUUUUGAGAUUUGAAUAAUGCAUCUGACGUGUGGGAUGACGUCACGACGCACGUAUUUUGAUUUUUACCAGUCGUUCAAGACAGACGGAUUCAGUCCCAAGAAGCUAAAGUUUUUCAAAGACAUUUGUAGGGAGGACUUUGCAGCUAAUGAUUUCCUAAGGCUGAACCCAAACCUGCCAGACUAAAGUUGAUUUGGGAGAGAAAGACGUUGUAAACUUAAUCAUCUUGACAUUCUUCAAUGAGUAAUUGUUCAAUAUUUAGGCAAAUACUGUACACUUUGAAUGCUGUGAAUAAAACUAUAUUUCAAAUAUA